rnacentral:tmRNA from 1 species
GGGGAUGACAUGGUAUCGAUUGGAGCAAAGAGGGUUAGUUGCAUGUCGGCCUGAACAUGCCGUUAGACGGUUCAUUUUUUUUAAACGCAAAUAAUAAUAAUUAUUCUCCAGCUUACGCAGCAGCGUAAGUUUUAAUUUAGACUCCCCUUUAUUGGGUCGUAGACUAGGAGGUCCAUUCUACUGAUGCUAUAUAGGUAGAACUAAAUGGGCUCACCCCCAAUAGCUUAUUUUAAGAAAGUUGAUUUGCUUCUUAGAAAACAUUUAGAAUCUUAGCUUUUUAAGAGCCUUGCAGGUUGAUCUUUUAUAAAGUGAAAUUAAUCAAUCUUUUACUAAACAUGUAGACGCUAAUUUGAUUUGUUUUAAGACUGGAGUUCAAUCCUCCACAUCUCCACCA